AACACCGUUCCUGUGUGUUGCUGGUGUUCAUGUUUAUGGUUAACACUGUUGAAUGCUGUGUAUUUAGUGUUUGUAGGCUAUUCAUUUACAAGUAUUUUAUGAAUUAUUUAACUAAUAGGUGUGACAUUGUGACUCUGUUGGAAUAUGCACACAACCACAUUACAGUACAGUUAUAAUAAUUAUUUUGUAGAUCUUAGAUAAUGUUAUUGGGCAAUGUGAGCCAUCACAUUCCGAUAACAGAAAGUGAAAGUGAAAUUACAGAGGUUUAGAGCUUCCACAUUAAAGCCAUUUAAAAUGGAAGAGAAUUUUUUGACAGUUGAGAUCCUGACUGUUGUCCCAAGUACAUAGCAAUGCAUCCAGUCACAAAAGUCUCUUUCUAAGGUCAAGGACUUAUUUCAGGGGUAUACAGGACUCUAUGGACCUCAGUUAAAGCUAGUGAAGGUAUCUGAGUAGUGUGACCUCCUCAAACCUCAAAAAAUUUGCUACUGGUUUGAUUAGGGACCCAUAAACUACAUACUACUAUUAUAUUAGCUCUUAAUUUAUACUGGAACUACAUGAUUCAGUUAUAAAACAAAAUUUAAUGUUCAUAUUACAGUUAGUUUGUACAGAAACUUUGAUUCAAAACUACAGGUGACAACUGGGAAC